rnacentral:tRNA from 1 species
GCGGGUGUAGCUCAGCGGUUAGAGCGCCGGCCUGUCACGCCGGAGGCCGCGGGUUCAAAUCCCGUCAUCCGCGCCA